UACGUAGGUGGCAAGCGUUGUCCGGAUUUACUGGGCGUAAAGCGCACGUAGGCGGCGAUUUAAGUCAGAGGUGAAAGCCCGGGGCUCAACCCCGGAACUGCCUUUGAGACUGGAUUGCUAGAAUCUUGGAGAGGCGAGUGGAAUUCCGAGUGUAGAGGUGAAAUUCGUAGAUAUUCGGAAGAACACCAGUGGCGAAGGCGGCUCGCUGGACAAGUAUUGACGCUGAGGUGCGAAAGCGUGGGGAGCAAACAGG
rnacentral:rRNA from 1 species